UCCUUCCCCUUGCCCCCAACCCCGCGACAGGCCCAAGUGUGUGAUGUUCCCCUCCCUGUGCCCAUAUGUUCUCAUUGUUCAACUUCCACUUAUGAGUGAGAAAAUGUGGUGUUUGAUUUUCUGUUUCUGUGUUAGUUUGCUGAGAAUGAUGGUUUCCAGCUUCAUCCAUGUCCCUGCAAAGGACAUGAACUCACCCUUUUUAUGGCUGCAUAGUAUUCCAUGGUGUAUAUGUCCCACAUUUUCUUUAUCCAGUCUAUCAUUGAUGGGAAUUUGGGUUGGUUCCACGUCUUUGCUAUUGUGAAUAGUGCUGCAAUCAGGAUGAGCAUCUUUCAGGAGGAUUGCUGAGGGUGAAGUCACCAAAAAGGAGUCCAGGAAUCUGAGAGGAGAUUCAGCAGGGUAGAAAAGGUCAGCCACGGAGGUGGAGAGCUCAAAAGGGCUCAGCACAGGCAAUUCACUCAAUUUCAGGGGUUGUCCAUCUGUCCAACUAACCAG
rnacentral:lncRNA from 10 species